AGAGAUGUUAGAAACAGUGUGAUUUCUUCUGAGUGGAUAUAAUAAAUUAUACUAAUAACAAUAUAAUUUAAUAAUAUUCUAUUUCCAACUAUGAAAAAAUAUUCUUCAUGCAAAUAGAAAAGCUUAUCAAUAUUUCCAAAAUGAAUGGUAUCCUUGAGUAAAUUCUUUGACUGCUUCAGUACAAUGGGCGAGGGAACUUUUUCAUUAUACGAGGGCCAUGUAAUCUCUGGACUCUUUGUUUUCCUUCAGCUCUCAAAUGUUCCUCGCCACCUCGAGAGCUGGCUAAUGGAUGCAGAUGGAGGAAGUGUUUGACAUUAUGGACACAGCAGUGCUUGUUUUAGAGGAGCUGGUCAUGUGGUCUGCCUUAGCAGGCCACACAGUACCCCCUUAAUGUGACCCAGACCCCCCAGCCAACUCCAGGGGGUUUCAGGAACUAUCUGCUCUGGGGGAACUGAGUGUCAGUUUAGCCCCCUAGUGAACACAAGUCAACAUGCCUUAAUCCCCCCAUCACCUAAAGUUACACUUUUGGGUCUGCAAUUAGCCAGCCGGCCAAAUCUCCCACACGCCCUAGUGAGCUCGCUCUUUCCGAGCCCCAGCACGGAACUCCAAGCUGGGGCUGUGGCCAGUGCUCAGAGCUCCGUGCUGGGAACCAGAGCCGCUGCUUGUACUGCCGGUUUCCAUGGCACAGUGCCGGACCGGCCACAUGGUCCCUCAUCUUUCACUGUCACCAUGCUGGAGAGGAAGAGAUCAAAACAAACAUGUGGUGGCAGGGAGAGCCUGACAUGAUGAAUCGCUGUAAUCAGUAUCAGACAGGCCAGCGCUCGCUCUGAUUGGUACAGGCUCCUUUUGAGAGAUUCUUCAAGUGACUGAGUGGCAAGACGCACAGAGCAAGAUCUGUGACCUGAAGCAUAGCCUAAAGACCUGAGAUAUGGCUGAUUCAAGCAAAACCACCACCAAGCGAGGUCUGCAGAUCAUUCUACUCUGAGCUACGCUGAAUGUAAACAUUUUCUAAGGUGGGGAAAUGUUUGCAACAUGGAAGCCGGGUGUUUGGUGGGCGCCAUGUCCAUUAUCAACUGGCCCGGAGCCAUGCCAACAAGAAUGAUGGGGGUGUAAAUUCCAGUCCUUGGUAUCAGCUCCGUUCUGCACAUUGUUUACCUCCUUUGUGACUUCCUGCUUCUUCAUCUUGGAAGAGGAGCACAGGAAGGGCCAAAAGUCCCCCCUCAACCCAAAUCUCCUGUAUGCCAAACAAAAAGCCACAUUGUAGCUCAUUUUCCUGUCUCCUCCACUGCGCAUUUCCAGCUGGGGGUGUGGUAUUGGCAUUCCUCAAGGUCAAAUCUCUGCACGCCUCUGAUCCCCUAAUUUCACUGUCUGGGGUUGGCGUGGGGGCUUCUCUAAUGGAUAUGUUACCCACUUCCUGCUGCUGGUAAGAGGCAAUCCUGAUCCUGCUGUCACAGAACAAAUUGCCACGUUAAAACCCCACUAAACACCUUCAGAGACAUACUGGAGGAUGCGUCAUCUUACCGACCCCUGAGGUUAGAGCCUUUCGUCAGGUGGGCCAUAGGGACGAAGCUAGCGGGCAAGCAAAAAUGAAGAAACAGGAUCAGCCCAUGAAAGGUGCAUUUACUGACCGGAGUGACUUUGAAGGAAAUAUUCACUCAGCUGAGUUUUUGGAAGAACAGGAUCAGACUCUGGCCACCCCACUGGCUUGGACGUUACCUCCGCUAACACAGUUAUUAAUUUCAGCUAGAGAGGGAAAGUACUUAAUGGGAUAUGCACACAUGCACUCAAACACAUACACACACUCAUACACAUUCACAGUGGGCCUGUCUGUAAUGGCCUUUGACUAGAGGUCUGUGGUCCAAGUUCACGAAAGCAGAGGCUGGUGAAGAGUGAACAAGCCAGGGUGACUGAGGAGGGACAGAUGGAGCAGCAUUGUGGGGAUGGAGGGAUGGAAGAAGUUGGGGGGUUGAGGGACAUGAGGUGGUGGUGGUGGUGGGGAGGGGGGAUCUCAGCCUUGAGCCCCCUCUGCCAGAAACAACAAGCAGGCCUUCUCAUAUUCAAAUAAAUACCAAGCCAGUGGGGAGCAUUGAGGGGCUGCAGAUAAGGAGGAGGCAAGGGGCGAGAGCCAGACUGGAGGAUGGCUUCUCUGCUACACUGAAGCCUAUUUAGGAUCACGGGCCAGGCCGAGAAGAGCAAAGCAGGCAGUGACAGAUUUAUAAUGAGCGUAGAUUCUGCCUUUGCAUUUAAUACCGGGCUUAAGAUGUAUUAGAGAGACAAAGGCCGUGGAUCCUGCUCGGGGAGAAGAAAGGCCUUAAUUAAUUUGGGGAGAUCACGGAGGCCCCGGGCCCACAUCAUCGGUUCUUUGUGGCAGGAAUGCCAGCUAUUUACCGGCGCUCCAAUAGGGCUGCGGGGAGAGUGUUGCUUCAGGUGCGGCGGGGCUGAAGGGAGCAGAGUGUCGAGGCCGGCCUGCAUCGAGCAGGCUGCACAGAGCCUGUUGAAGGGCACAGUUGGCAGCUGUCAGGCCUAUAUUCGUUAACUCAGAGAAGACAUGUGGAGAGAGGACCUUCCUUCCCAAAAUAAACAAAUAGCGGUGGCACACAUCUUUCCAGACUACUGCAAAGGGGAGGGAGAAAGUGAAAAUUGUGCUUUUCUUUCUUUGUCUCUUUUGAUUUCUGCGUGGCCGCUUGGACAAAUAGACCAGGUAGUGAAGUCGUCAAACCUCAGAAUCCAUAAAAAUGAAGAAGAAAAACUGGGCUCAAAACAGCACAAAACAUAUAUUUUACAUUGUGGACUACAAUGUAUAAACCAACUGAAAGAAACAAAAAAGUCAUAUCAGGAGGAACAUUUUCUGAAUUUGUUAUAAUGUCAUUUUAAAACAUGAUAUUCCGUUAUAGUGUAUGUUUUUUCUAAAACACUUAUGUGCUUCCUGUGAGAUUCCUAAAUGAAUAAUAUUAAAAGGUGAAGUCUACA